AGUUAAACAGUACGUGAAAUUGUUGAAAGGGAAACGAUUGUAGCCAGUCGUACCUUCGGGUAAUCAGCCUUUCGGGUGCGAUUCUGUGGGGUUUGAGGAGCUUUAACACCUUCAUGCUUUGCAUAUUCGUGCUCUUGGGUGUACUUGCCCGUGUGGUUGGUUAACAUCAAUUUCGGGCACCAUAAAAUGGCUGGAGGAAUGUAGCUUCGAUCUUGUAUUGAAGUGUUAUAGCCUUCGGUAGAUGUGGUGAUCGAGAUUGAGGAUUGCAACGGAUACCUUUCGGGGCUACCUGUCUGAUCUCUGAUCGUUGUUUUGGUGCUGAAAGCGUGCUUAUAGUUAUCAAAGUCGAUGGUCAAUAGGUUAGAAUGGGUUAAAUUCGUUAAGGAUGUUGACGUAAUGGCUUUAAA
rnacentral:misc_RNA from 1 species